CGUGCCAAGGGAAAUAGUCGGUGUGGCUGUGCAGAUGCGCGUAUGGAGUGAAUUCGUCGCUGUUUCCUCGGUAAUUUAUUUUUAACAGUUCUAUUUAGUCAACAACUAUAGUGAUACUCUAGCUAGUAAAGUUUCUCUUUGAUCUAGCUAUGCUUGUGCUUGUUGCUAGACACUUUGUUUACAGCUUACCAAAGCUCGUGCUCAUGGAAGCGGAUCUCCCGGAUAGAAUAAUUGAACCAGCGCUAACACAACGGAGAAAGUAGCACGCGCGCACACACACACACACGCACACACACACGCGCGCGCGCGCGCGUUUAUGCUUUAGUUAAUUAAGGAACGUUAAUUUGCAGUGGUAACAUGUUGAAUCCUCUCAGAAGAUACAUUUGCUCUUUCACCUGUGUCUUUUUAGAAAGCAAACAUCAUUGAGACUGGGAGAUGUCACAUAGAGUUCCAGAUGACUUGAAGGGAAAUGGUCAAUAUUCUUCAUUGAAGUAUGACACACUAUUUAGGAGAAACAAUUAUAAAAGUUUACAAGAGACGAUGAUGCAAAUGCUGAAAUAUUGUACAUAUUUCUGUCUGUUGGAACCUAGCUGGAAGGAUGAGAAGUUUGAACAUGAUCUAACAGCAUCAGUUGUUCAUCCACUAAGAAAUGUUGGUCCUUGUGCUCUUGUUGAAGCAGCUAUGCAAGACGAUGUGAUCACAAACUGGCCGAUCGAGACCUGUAGUUAGCGCAAAGGCUAGAAUAUCUUGAGCUACUUUCUGUAAAUAGAUUACUUUGCAAGUGCGCAUCAAUACUUAAUUGUGAGGGGAGACAUGUAAUUGUUGAAACUCUCAAUGAUAUCGAAGUAGAUCUGUAAUCAUAGAGACCACGCUGCAUGUGAACUUAAUUGAUACAAAUAUAACUAGAAUGGAAA